AGCGAACGCUGGCGGCAGGCCUAACACAUGCAAGUCGAACGAACCUUUCGGGGUUAGUGGCGGACGGGUGAGUAACACGUGGGAACGUGCCUUUAGGUUCGGAAUAACUCAGGGAAACUUGUGCUAAUACCGAAUGUGCCCUUCGGGGGAAAGAAUAAUUGCCUUUGGAGCGGCCCGCGUCUGAUUAGCUAGUUGGUUGAGGUAAUGGCUCACCAAGGCGACGAUCAGUAGCUGGUCUGAGAGGAUGAUCAGCCACAUUGGGACUGAGACACGGUCCAAACUCCUACGGGAGGCAGCAGUGGGGAAUCUUGCGCAAUGGGCGAAAGCCUGACGCAGCCAUGCCGCGUGAAUGAUGAAGGUCUUAGGAUUGUAAAAUUCUUUCACCGGGGACGAUAAUGACGGUACCCGGAGAAGAAGCCCCGGCUAACUUCGUG
rnacentral:rRNA from 1 species